GACGGGGGCCCGCACAAGCGGAGGAACAUGUGGUUUAAUUCGAUGAUACGCGAGGAACCUUACCCGGGCUUGAACUGCAGGCGAACGAUACAGAGAUGUUGAGGCCCUUCGGGGCGCCUGUGGAGGUGCUGCAUGGUUGUCGUCAGCUCGUGCCGUGAGGUGUCGGCUUAAGUGCCAUAACGAGCGCAACCCUUUUCAUUAGUUGCCAUCAGGUAAUGCUGGGCACUCUGGUGAUACUGCCACCGUAAGGUGUGAGGAAGGUGGGGAUGACGUCAAAUCAGCACGGCCCUUACGUCCGGGGCUACACACGUGUUACAAUGGGAGGUACAGAGAGUCGGAUGUACGCAAGUACAUUCUAAUCCUAAAAGCCUUCCUCAGUUCGGAUUGGGGUCUGCAACCCGACCCCAUGAAGCUGGAUUCGCUAGUAAUCGCGCAUCAGCCAUGGCGCGGUGAAUACGUUCCCGGGCCUUGUACACACCGCCCGUCAAGCCAUGAAAGCCGGGGGCGCUUGAAGUCCGUGGGCGCAAGGAUCGGCCUAGAGCGAAACUGGGAAGAGG
rnacentral:rRNA from 1 species